rnacentral:rRNA from 1 species
GGCAGACGGGUGAGUAACGCGUGGGAACGUGCCCUUUGGUUCGGAAUAACUCAGGGAAACUUGAGCUAAUACCGGAUAAGCCCUUGGCCUUUGGCCUUGGGGAAAGAUUUAUCGCUGAAGGAUCGGCCCGCGUCUGAUUAGCUGGUUGGUGAGGUAAUGGCUCACCAAGGCGACGAUCAGUAGCUGGUCUGAGAGGAUGAUCAGCCACAUUGGGACUGAGACACGGCCAAACUCCUACGGGAGGCAGCAGUGGGGAAUAUUGGACAAUGGGCGCAAGCCUGAUCCAGCCAUGCCGCGUGAGUGAUGAAGGCCUUAGGGUUGUAAAGCUCUUUCGUCCGGGACGAUAAUGACGGUACCUGAAGAAGAAGCCCCGGCUAACUUCGUGCCAGCCGCCGCGG